UUGGCCCAGAUCGUUUACCGUGAAAAAAUUAGAGUGUUCAAAGCGGGCAGAUAUUUUUCCUGCCACCGAAUACAUUAGCAUGGGAUAAUGGAAUAGGACCCUGACCUCCUAUUUUCAGUUGGUUUUGUUUACAGCGAGGUUAUAUCAGGGUAAUGAUUAAUAGGGAUAGUUGGGGGCAUUAAUAUUUAAUUGUCAGAGGUGAAAUUCUUGGAUUUAUGAAAGAUUAACUUCUGCGAAAGCGUUUGCCAAGGAUGUUUUCAUUAAUCAAGAACGAAAGUUAGGGGAUCGAAGACGAUCAGAUACCGUCGUAGUCUUAACCAUAAACGAUGCCGACCAGCGAUUAGGAGACGUUGAAUACAAAACACCGCCGUUAAUCCUUUCGGGGGUUAAUGGUUGGUGAAUGACUCCCUAGCAGCUUGUGAGAA
rnacentral:rRNA from 2 species